GGUUACAUCACGUUGAAACGCCACUUCUCGUACGAUAACUGAAGUUAAGCAAGGUUAAGUCUGCUCAGUACCUAGGUGGGUGACCGUUUGGGAAUACCAGGUGAUGUAA